ACCCGCCCCCUCCCCUCCCCUCCCCUGAUCAGAAGACAAGAGCGAGGGAGAUCAUGACGCGCCCAGAUCCGACCGACGUGUUAGUUUUGUUGGCAUGCUCGGAUCUAACCAGAUUGAAUCAUUAACUGAUGGAAGAUUUGGAUGCUCCACACCCUUAUGCAAUCUGAUGAAUGGUUUGGAGCUUGGCUGCAAAUAAACCUGAGGCUGAGAGCAUUUGUAAAUAGCAUCAAUGGAUAAGUAAAGAUUUCCCUGCACUUCUAUGUCUUCCGGCAGAGUUGCUGCAUUUUUCUAACUACUGCUGUAUGAAUAUUUUGGAAUAGUAUUUCUAGCUAGAGUUGGUAUUUCAAGGGCUGUUAUUUGUGAGAGUAAUUGAUUGAUGUUUA